rnacentral:misc_RNA from 1 species
UCCUCCGCUUAUUGAUAUGCUUAAGUUCAGCGGGUAUCCCUACCUGAUCCGAGGUCAACCUUAGAAAGAUUCUCCCUGAGGGGAGGCAGACCGUGUCCCGUAAACCCAUGUGUCCGAUACGUGUCCCGUGAAGAACUCAGUGUACCGGGGGUCCAACGAGGCCGCCGUCAUUGUCUUUGGGAGGGGCAGGAGCCCCCGAGGGGGCCUCCACCAAACCGUCCAACACCAAGCCGAGGGCUUGAGGGGUGAUAAUGACGCUCGAACAGGCAUGCCCUUCGGAAUACCAAAGGGCGCAAUGUG